rnacentral:tRNA from 1 species
GGGCCGUUAGCUCAGUUGGUAGAGCAGCUGACUCUUAAUCAGUAGGUCGAAGGUUCGACCCCUACACGGCCCACCA